GGCUCAGGAUGAACGCUGGCGGCGUGCAUAACACAUUCAAGUCGAACGGAGCUUUGAGAUUAAUCCUUCGGGAAGCGUCUUGGAGCUUAGUGGCGGACGGGUGAGUAACGCGUGAGCAACCUGCCUUUGAUAGGGGGAUAACAGAGGGAAACUUCUGCUAAUACCGCAUGAUGCAUCGAUGUCGCAUGGCAUUGAUGCCAAAGAUACGUCGAUCAAAGAUGGGCCCGCGUCCGAUUAGAUAGUUGGUGAGGUAACGGCUCACCAAGUCUGCGAUCGGUAGCCGGACUGAGAGGUUGAACGGCCACAUUGGAACUGAGAAACGGUCCAGACUCCUACGGGAGGCAGCAGUGGGGAAUAUUGGGCAAUGGGCGAAAGCCUGACCCAGCGACGCCGCGUGAGGGAAGACGGUCUUCGGAUUGUAAACCUUAGUUGGCAGGGAAGAAGAAAGUGACGGUACCUGCAGAGAAAGCCACGGCUAACUACGUG
rnacentral:rRNA from 1 species